rnacentral:rRNA from 1 species
GACGUAGGGCGCGAGCGUUGUCCGGAUUUAUUGGCGUAAAGAGCUCGUAGGCGGCUUGUCGCGUCGACUGUGAAAUCCCGCGGCUCAACCAAGGAAGUGCAUCCAAAACUGCAGAGCUUGAGUACUUAAGAGGAUCGCGGAAUUCCCGGUGUAGAGGUGAAAUUCGUAGAUAUCGGGAGGAACACCUGCGGCGAAGGCGGGUGCUGGG